GAUGAACGCUGGCGGCGUGCUUAACACAUGCAAGUCGAACGAUGAAGCCCAGCUUGCUGGGUGGAUUAGUGGCGAACGGGUGAGUAACACGUGAGUAACCUGCCCUUAACUCUGGGAUAAGCCUGGGAAACUGGGUCUAAUACCGGAUAGGAGCGUCCACCGCAUGGUGGGUGUUGGAAAGAUUUAUCGGUUUUGGAUGGACUCGCGGCCUAUCAGCUUGUUGGUGAGGUAAUGGCUCACCAAGGCGACGACGGGUAGCCGGCCUGAGAGGGUGACCGGCCACACUGGGACUGAGACACGGCCCAGACUCCUACGGGAGGCAGCAGUGGGGAAUAUUGCACAAUGGGCGAAAGCCUGAUGCAGCGACGCCGCGUGAGGGAUGACGGCCUUCGGGUUGUAAACCUCUUUCAGUAGGGAAGAAGCGAAAGUGACGGUACCUGCAGAAGAAGCACCGGCUAACUACGUG
rnacentral:rRNA from 1 species